UUGGCUCAGGAUGAACGCUGGCGGCGUGCCUAAUACAUGCAAGUCGGACGGAGCGCUUCGGCGCUCAGUGGCGAACGGGUGAGUAGCACAUGGGCAACCUGCCCUUCAGAGGGGGACAACAGCUGGAAACGGCUGCUAAGACCGCAUAGGCGCGGACGGGACAUCCCGUCCACGUUAAACGUCCUUACGGGGACGGCUGAAGGAUGGGCCUGUGGCGCAUUAGCUUGUUGGCGGGGCAACGGCCCACCAAGGCGACGAUGCGUAGCCGGCCUGAGAGGGCGGACGGCCACACUGGGACUGAGACACGGCCCAGACUCCUACGGGAGGCAGCAGUGGGGAAUA
rnacentral:rRNA from 1 species